UCAUGCGAGGAGGAGUGCUAUCAAUAACGAGACAGAUCUCUUUGAGGCCUGUCAUCGGAAUGGGCACAACUUAAACCCUUUAACGAGGAUCUAUGAGAGGGCGUCCUGGGCCCAGCAGCCCGAAAUCCCAGCUCUCCGGUAAUAUCGCCAUCCCCCGAAAAGAGCUCAAGUUGGCCUAAGACGACACGCGGCCACCAGGGUAUAAUUCUGACUCUAACCUGUUUUGUCGGUUUCCUCUUGCCCCUUCACUGGCCGUCUUGAGAACUUUCAUUAAAUCCUGUAAUAAAAAGAGCGCUUGCGACAGGCCUUCAUCAUGGUAUAAUAGAAUAUGACUUCGGUCCAUUCCUUCGGUCCAUUCAUCGAAGCUUAGGACUAAAGGAACAACUCGGAGCAACCGAAUCGCUGCCCGAAUCGCUAAUUCUUGGACCGCAGUCUGACACCGUAUUGCGAAAAUUCUCCAAAAAUGUUUUCAUUAAACAAGAA
rnacentral:rRNA from 1 species